rnacentral:sRNA from 1 species
GCUGGGGGCGGUGGCACACGCCUAUAAUCCCAGCAGCUCAGGAGGCUGAGACAGGAGGAUCGUCAGUUCAAAGCCAGUCUCAGUAAUGGUGAGGUGCUUAGCAUCUCAGUGAGACCCUGUCUCUA